CAGAAGGCCAGAGACCAAUGGAUCACAUCUGGUCUAAUUAACCACAACAAGCAUGGCGGAAUGGAAACAAUAGAAAGGACAAUGGAUAAAGGAUGAGGUCAGAGGGGACUGUGCCAUACUGCAUGAUCCUCUGGACGGAAUACUGCAAGGAUGGGAUUCUAUCACACAACAGGCCCAGGGUAAAACGGGACUAAGGAAUAUUCCUGACAGGCUUUGUGAAAUUCACCCUGACACUGAAGUUAACUGUGACAGAUUGUAUGUUGUAUUGUCGCUUGGAAACAUUUGACCCACGCCUUUCAAAGCAAAGACGGCUUCCUUUUAGUGGACCCAUUAAAAAGGAAAAAAGAUA